UGCAGUGCGUGGCGGUUGCAACAAAAUGUGUAUAUAAUUUUAUAAAAAUCACACCGCGCUUUUGUGUACCUACUUAUUUCUUACACCUAUAUUAUGUAAAAUAUAAGUGCAUCUGAUUCGUAAAAUCCGUCGCCACCGCCUCCACAACGUGCGAAUUAUGGUGUUCGUUAUCGGCAAUUAUUUUUUUUUUGUGUUUAUUAAGACUUUGUGUGUAUACAAUAUACAUAAUAUAUUAUAUAGUUUUUUUAGCCACCAGUGUUAUGAAAAUAUUCUUACCCUGAACAGCUCCACGUUGUGGUGGAAAGAAAUGAAGCGCAAACAGCACGAAAUUGACAUGAGUGGCGGUGGUGGUGGUGGGCUGGCGAGCCGGUGAACAUCGGUCGCAGAUGGAACGACAGAGGCGCUUGCACGUCGUGGUCUCCUUGGAAACGUUAACCGAAGCCAUUUUCGGGCCAAUAACUAUACGUCAUCCGGGUUCACACGAAGUCGUAAACUGACGAGAACACUACUCAUUCUGCACAUGUCUCACGACUGUUGUAUUUGCACGACCGAUAAUAUGCGACCUCCGGUUCAUACGAAGCUGGAUAUUUAUUUGACGACAUAGGCGAGAGGAGUCUAAACUAGUGUCUCACGACUAAACCGGUCGUGUUCACUCCUUCACUCCAACAUGCCGGAUGUAACAGUCUUGUUAAUUUUAUUUAUUUAUUUACCUUAUAACACUAUUUUUUUAGAAAAAGACUUUUAAAAUAAUAAAACACAUAACGUUCUUCAUUGAACAAUUAUAAAUAAAAGUAAUAAAUAAUAUAAACAAUGGAGAUUAUAAUUAUCUUUCAUUAAAAAAAUCGUUAAAACUAUUGAACUACGGCAGAAAAUCUUGUAAAGAGAAAGAAAACUAUUGCUUUAAAAUGAUACGAUAAAGUGCUUAAAACAUUUAUCAUUAGGGUAGGUUUCAUUAAGAAACUUACCAUGAAUAAGAAAAAAAGUAAUUGAAAAUAAAGGACCACGAUACUUGUCAUUGCGGGGAUGCAGAAUAGGUGUAAAUAACCUUAAGUUCUUUGCGGAUAAAAUAAUUAUUUAUUAACAAACCGAGCAACCAAACGAGUUUUAUUCUUUUUUGCAUCAUUUCAUUUAAAGUUUUAAAAAUGUUUUUUUUUAAUUAAUGAAUCCAUCGUUUAACGACAAAUAGUUAGGAAAAGCUCUUUUUCAUAUUUUUAUUAACCUGUUGCCCUGUGUUUUUAAUCUGACCACUCCCAUAACUAUUCCUUUUUCACUGUACGCUUUUUAGAUGUAUAAUAUUGAUAAUUUUUUUUGUUUAUUAAAAUCAACUAUUUAAGUAAAUAUUUGUGAAUACUACUUGACAUUUUUCAUUAAUAAAAUAAAUCUACCAAGUCUACAUAACAACUGUCACUUAUUUGUAUUACAUAUACAUAAUUAAUUUGUCGUGAUUAAAUUAGUCGCUAGGGACUACAAUUCCAUGUCGUUUGGUAAAUUUGUUGUCAAAUAAACUAUUCACUUGCGAUUAGUUGUCGAAUCAAAAAUCAAAAGAAAAAAAUGU